rnacentral:rRNA from 1 species
GACGAACGCUGGCGGCGUGCUUAACACAUGCAAGUCGAACGGACUACUUUGCUUCGGUAAGGUGGUUAGUGGCGAACGGGUGAGUAACGCGUAGACAACCUACCUCUUAGAUGGGGACAACAUCGCGAAAGCGGUGCUAAUACCGAAUGAAGUGACUUUCCUGCAUGGGAGAGAUACUAAAGGUGGCCUCUAUUUAUAAGCUACCACUGAGAGAUGGGUCUGCGUCUGAUUAGCUAGUUGGCGGGGUAACGGCCCACCAAGGCGACGAUCAGUAGCCGGUCUGAGAGGAUGAACGGCCACAUUGGGACUGAGACGCGGCCCAAACUCCUACGGGAGGCAGCAGUGGGGAAUUUUCCGCAAUGGACGAAAGUCUGACGGAGCAACGCCGCGUGAGUGAAGAAGGUUUUCGGAUCGUAAAGCUCUGUUGUUUGAGACGAAUGUGCCUGUUUCGAAUAGGGAUAGGUAAUGACGGUAUUAAACGAGAAAGCCACGGCUAACUACGUGCCAGCAGCAGCCGCCG